UUAAAAUUUUGUUUAGUUAUUUAUAUAAUAAAAAUAAUUUUAAUUUCAUAGUUUUUGUAGUUUUUAAUGAAAAAAUAAUUAUUAAUGAUAGUGUAUUAGUAUUGUGAAAGAAUGAUGAAAUAAAUUGAAAAUAAAUUAAUUAAAAAGAAAAUUUUAUUUAUUGUACCUUGUGUAUCAGGGUUUAUUAAAUAAAAAAUAUAUAUAAAUAUUUUUCUCGAAUUUAAAAGAGCUAAUUAAUUAUUUUAGUUAUUGUAGCAUAAAUAUUAAUAAUAAUUAAUUAGAAAUGAAAUGUUAUUCGUUUUUAAAUAUAUCUAGUUUUUUAAGAAAUAAAUUUAAUUUAUAUAUUUUUAAUUGUAAUAAAUUAAUUUAUUAAUUUAUUAUUUAAUAAUAUAAAUAUUUUAGGGGAUAAGCUUUAAAAUAAAUUUUUAUAAAAUUUUUUAUUAAAAAUAAUUAUAGGUUUAGAAAUAGCCAUUAAUUGUAAGUAUGUUAUAAUAUAUUUUUAUUAAAUAUUAUUUAUUUAAUUUUUAAAUUUUUAUUAAAAUAUUAAUUUUAAUAAUUAAAAUUAAGGAAUAAUGAUAAAAUUAGUAUAUUGAAUUAUGUAAAUAAAUAUAAAUGAUAGGUUUUAAAAAGGAACUCGGCAAAUAAAAUAUUCGCCUGUUUAUCAAAAACAUGUCUUUUUGUUUUUAUUUAAAGUCUAACCUGCCCACUGAAAUUAUUUGAAGGGCCGCGGUAUUUUGACCGUGCAAAGGUAGCAUAAUCAUUAGUUUUUUAAUUGAAAGCUUGUAUGAAUGGUUGGACGAAAUAUUGACUGUCUUUAUAAAAUUUAUAAUAGAAUUUAACUUUUUUGUUAAAAGGCAAAAAUUAAUUUAAAGGACGAGAAGACCCCAUAGAGCUUUAUAUUUUUAUAAUAUUAUUUAUAAAGAAUUAAUUUAAAUUUUAUUAAAAAAAGUAUUUUGUUGGGGUGACAGUAAAAUUUAAUAAACUUUUAUUAUUUUAUAACAUUGAUUUUUGGUUUAUUGAUCCAAUUUUAUUGAUUAAAAAAUUAAGUUACCUUGGGGAUAACAGCGUAAUUUUUUUAAAGAGUUCAUAUCGACAAAAAAGAUUGCGACCUCGAUGUUGGAUUAAGAGUAAUUUUAGGUGUAGAAGUUUAAAUUAUUAGGUCUGUUCGACCUUUAAAUUCUUACAUGAUCUGAGUUCAAACCGGCGUAAGCCAGGUUGGUUUCUAUCCUUAAAAAAUUAAAAUAUUUUAGUACGAAAGGACCAAAUAUUUAAUAUAUUAAUAUUUUAUUUUAUGAAUGUAAUUAAU
rnacentral:rRNA from 1 species